AAGUAGCCUAGGUCAUUUAUUGAAGAAUAUCCUUAAGUCUAGUACCACUAAGAUACAACAUUUUGCAAAAAAGAAAACUCUAAUGUGGCAGUAACUAUUUCAUAUUGAUAUCAUGAUAAUACAACUAGUCAAAUUCAUAAAAAAAAUGAUUCGAAAACAAGCUGAAAUUAACAAGUACAAAGAAGAGUCUUGAUUACAAGUCUCAAAAUAAGUCUCGAAUGUUCAUGGCAUAACCUCACUUUUAAACAUGCUAAAAUAGAAGGCAUGGAUUAACAAGUCGAAUGAAAAAGAAAAACAGAGGAAAACAUCUAGCAAGUAUGGAGAUCUUCAUUUCUUCAAAACACAUGAACCCUUCUUACAUGUCUAGAAUCAAGAAUAUGUACCUGGAAGUUAAGAAGGAAACAAGGAGAAUAAGAAGUUAACAACAGCAGCAGUAGAGUCAGCCCAGAAUCAGCAAUGAAGAAGUACCAAACAACACCCGAACCAAUUUUUGAAACCCCAGACUCAAACCAUUUUCUACCCAAAUGCAAGACCUUGAAACUUUUCAGAAUUUCUAGCUAAGAAAAGAUCAGAAAACCAGAAAUAAGCAAAGUUCGAGCAGCUUUCACCAAAGAUAUGCUAGGAUUUCAAUGUUCUAUCAGAAUUUUUCUUCUAGACUCAGCCGUUUCAAUUUUUAGGAUUUUUUAGUCUCUUCAAUUCUCUUUCAUUCUGCCUUGAGCUUGAAGAAAAGGAUGCCUUUAUAGGCAAGGCACUAGGGAAGCCUAAAGAAAUCAGAUUUUCAUUUUGAUCCUUUUGGAAUUUUAGUUUUUGCUUAGAAAUCCUUAGGUUAAAAUUCAGAAAUUCAUUUAAGUCGCUUCCUAGAAGCUUCCUAAUUCAGUUAUUCAAAGAUUCCUUCAUCCUAAAUUCCUAAGCUACCCUCCAAUACCCCUGUUAUUACCCCUGAAACUCAGGGGCCAAGUUGACCUAAUGACUUAAUUGAAAGAAACGGGCUGCCUUUCUUUUGCGAAUGGGUCUGAAACCCAAAGCCCAAACGAAUUAAUUCAAAGCACUCUGUAAUCAAUAGAAGAACACAAACAUUUGUUCCGAAAGUUAAAAAAAAUUGAACUAGGGCAAUUGGUUAAUUAAUACAAAUAAGCAAGGAAGUUAGCUAAAUUAUUAAAACUAAUUAACAAACUAAAGCAAUUUCAGACAAACAAAUAAAAAUGACUUUGAGAACAAAUCGAUUUUUAAAGGCACUUAAAAACUAAUUUUAAAACAGAAUUUUAACAAUCAAUUUUUUUCUAUUUUAACAAAAUUCAGAGAUCAAACCAUGAAACAGAAGGGGCUCGUGCUUUGAAGAAGAAAAGAAAAAGAAGAAGGAAGGGACAGAAAGAAAAAGAAGAAAAAAGAAAAAUCAUUGAUAGAAACUUACUGAAAAGGAAGAAACGGACAUCAAUACCUUUAAACUUCGCCUUUGCUUCGACCAACAGAAGUCGUUUCUUCCGAUAGACCCAGCCUCGCAUGGCUUUGGCUGAGUCUUCGUGAGAGAAAGGACUCUUGGAAGUCUCAACCUUGAAGGAGAGAAUGAAACGGAGGGACUUUUAGUGACCACGUUGGGGAAAACAGGUCUUUCAAGUUUUGGAUCUGAAAUUCCGACCAGUAAACGAAAGUUCUUGGAAAACCGGUUGGGAAUCUGUUAUGAGGAGGGAACAGAGAGUAUGGGGUGAUAAAAUGAUGUGGUUUAGAAGAGUUAGGGUUUUUUAGUCAGAUCUUCAUUUGAAGAUUCGAACAGUUCGGGCAUGAUUCGAGGGAAAAGAAGUGAAGAUUUGGAAUGGGGGGGAUGAAGGGGAGUUUGGGGUAAUGGUUUGGGGUCAUUUGGGAUCGGCGCCGCCAGCUGAGGCAGUGGGGAAUGGAGGCGCCGUCUCUAGGGUUCUGUUCAAUUCUCUAAAAAGGGAGAUGAUAGAGACGAG
rnacentral:lncRNA from 1 species